rnacentral:rRNA from 1 species
UACGAAGGGGGCUAGCGUUGCUCGGAAUCACUGGGCGUAAAGGGCGCGUAGGCGGCGUUUUAAGUCGGGGGUGAAAGCCUGUGGCUCAACCACAGAAUGGCCUCGAUACUGGGACGCUUGAGUAUGGUAGAGGUUGGUGGAACUGCGAGUGUAGAGGUGAAAUUCGUAGAUAUUCGCAAGAACACCGGUGGCGAAGGCGGCCAACUGGACCAUUACUGACGCUGAGGCGCGAAAGCCAGGGGAGCAAACGGG